rnacentral:rRNA from 1 species
CUACGGGGGGGCAGCAGCGAGGAAUAUUGCACAAUGGGGGGAACCCUGAUGCAGCAACGCCGCGUGGAGGAUGACGCAUUUCGGUGUGUAAACUCCUUUUAUAUGUCAAGAAAAUGACGGUAGCAUAUGAAUAAGCACCGGCUAACUCCGUGCCAGCAGCCGCGGUAAUACGGAGGGUGCAAGCGUUACUCGGAAUCACUGGGCGUAAAGGACGCGUAGGCGGGUUGGAAAGUCAGGUGUGAAAUCCUACAGCUUAACUGUAGAACUGCACUUGAAACUUCUAAUCUAGAGUAUGGGAGAGGGAGAUGGAAUUAGUGGUGUAGGGGUAACAUCCGUAGAUAUCACUAGGAAUACCUAAAGCGAAGGCGAUCUCCUGGAACAUUACUGACGCUAAGGCGUGAAAGCGUGGGGAGCAAACAGGAUUAGAUACCCCGGUAGUC